GGAUCAAUGAGUUGGUCGUGCCCUUGGUAUGAACUGGCUUUAUUGGUUCUCACCUUCUAAUGAACCAUAAUGUCAUUCAUUUGAUGUUUUGGGGAAUUAGGACUGUUACCUUGAAAAAAUUAGAGUGUUUAAAGCAGGCUCACGCUUGAAUACAUUAGCAUGGAAUAAUGAAAUAGGACGUUCGAUCUUAUUUUGUUGGUUUCUAAGAUUGACGUAAU
rnacentral:rRNA from 1 species